rnacentral:rRNA from 1 species
UACGUAGGGGGCUAGCGUUGUCCGGAAUCAUUGGGCGUAAAGAGCGUGUAGGCGGUUCGGUAAGUCCGCUGUGAAAGUCGGGGGCUCAACCCUCGAAUGCCGGUGGAUACUGCCGGGCUAGAGUACGGAAGAGGCGAGUGGAAUUCCUGGUGUAGCGGUGAAAUGCGCAGAUAUCAGGAGGAACACCGGUGGCGAAGGCGGAUCUCUGGGCCAUUACUGACGCUGAGGAGCGAAAGCGUGGGGAGCGAACAGG